UACGUAGGGUGCGAGCGUUAAUCGGAAUUACUGGGCGUAAAGCGUGCGCAGGCGGUUCGUUGUGUCGGCGGUGAAAGCCCCGGGCUCAACCUGGGAAUGGCCGUUGAAACUGGCGAACUGGAGUGUGGCAGAGGGGGGUGGAAUUCCGCGUGUAGCAGUGAAAUGCGUAGAUAUGCGGAGGAACACCGAUGGCGAAGGCAAUCCCCUGGGCCUGUACUGACGCUCAUGCACGAAAGCGUGGGAGCAAACAGG
rnacentral:rRNA from 1 species